AGGUCAUUUGCAUGAAACAUGCUGAAGCUCCUGAGGAAUCCUUUUGUUCCUGCUGAGUGUUUCCCAUCUGUAUCUUUAAUCCUUGGUGGGUGACAGCCACAGUGGUAUUUCUGCUGUAAAAAGAAGCCCAAAGAGUACUGUUACAUUUCGAGAAGAAUACAGGAAAGAACCUGUCAGAAGAACUGGGUUCUAAUUCUGACUUUACCACUAACUAGCUGAGUGACUUCAGCCCACGUCCGUGCCGCAACGAGCGCCCC